rnacentral:rRNA from 1 species
UGGGGAAUAUUGGGCAAUGGGCGCAAGCCUGACCCAGCGACGCCGCGUGAGGGAAGAAGGCCCUCGGGUCGUAAACCUCUGUCAGGAGGGAAGAAGUGGGUUCUGGUUAACAGCCGGGGCCUUUGACGGUACCUCCAAAGGAAGCACCGGCCAACUCCGUGCCAGCAGCCGCGGUAAUACGGAGGGUGCAAGCGUUAUUCGGAAUCACUGGGCGUAAAGCGCGCGUAGGCGGCUUCGUAAGUCAGAUGUGAAAGCCCUCGGCUCAACCGAGGAAUAGCAUUUGAAACUGCGGAGCUAGAGUUCGGGAGAGGGUGGCGGAAUUCCAGGUGUAGGAGUGAAAUCCGUAGAUAUCUGGAGGAACACCAGAGGCGAAGGCGGCCACCUGGACCGAAACUGACGCUGAGGUGCGAAAGCGUGGGUAGCAAACA